rnacentral:lncRNA from 1 species
UGAAGCUGAGGUGUCCAACUCCUGCACCCAUGUUUAUAACACACUUCUUACUUGCCCCUUGAUUCUGCUCAUCAAGGUUCCUUCCCAUUCAAUAUUCGACUGCAGAUCUUCAUUGGGAGCUUAUCUCAACCUGUGCCCAUCACCUGAGUUAGCUGGCAGAGUUCUGUGAGGUCCCCUGUGAGCCUGCAGCUUUCAACUCCUCAUGGGAGGGAGCAUGCAAGUGAACGAGGUGGGAACUGGAAUGCAUGAACUCUGGAAACAACCACCCACUUCGGAGCUGACAGGAGCAAACUUCAAUCACUCAGACUUCCUGCGCUUCAUCCAUCAUGAGAGGGAGCACACAGUGUCCCCAUCUGUCCCAUGCAGAUCCUACAUUACAGCUGCAGCCUCAUGGCUACCUCUUAAUUAACUGCCUCUGUGACUAAUAUUCAGAAAAACAAUCAGUUGUCAGCAGACCUGCAUGAUAAGCCAUACUAGAAAAGCCCUUCCCACUGGAAGAGAAUUAUUCCAAGUGAAAAUUCAGAUUUACAGGAAGAAGAAAGGCAAAAAUAAUAAAUACGUGUGUAUAUGUAAAAACUAUUUUUCUCUUUUUUGAUUUAUUUAAAUCAAGAAAUUGAGUUAUUUAAUGAAAAUAUAAUAAAAUAUGCUUUGAGAUUUAUAAUUAACAUCGAUGUACAAGACAGUGAUAGAAUAGAGAUUGAUGGGUAUCAACAGAGGUACUUACUGUUUCUCAUAAGUGAAAUGAUAUGCAUAUGAUAGGUAAAGUGAUAUAAUAUUAAUUCAAAUUAGAUUGGGAAAAGUUCAUUUAUAUAGUGAUUCCUAGAAAACCAACUGAUGGUGGGAGGCAAAGAAAUAUAGUAGUAUGUCCAUACAAAGGAUAAAAAAAUACUGAAUUAGUUGAAUUACUGAUUUUAAAAACUUAGUCAUUCAAAAUAAUCAGGAAAAGAGAACUUAAAAUAAGUGAGGUAUGUACCAAAUACCAUUAUCCUCAUUUUACAGAUAAGGAUACUGAUACCAAGUGAAGUUAAAAAAUUUGCCCAAGAUUAAAUAAUUAUUUAGUGUAAAUUCUGUGAUUUAGAGACCUGGCUUAUCCCAAUUAUGCUUUAUCCUUAAACAAUACUGAAUAAACAUUUUAAUUACAAUUGUAACUGAAGAAAAAUACAGGCUUUGACUGGAUAUGAUUUGAGUAUAAAUAUUUCCGCUGAAAAUAAAACUUUUAUAUAAAAUGUGAAAUAAAGUUGAUUUAGGUAAACUUUUAUUCUACUUUCCUUUUAUUGCUGCCUUUUCUUUCUGCUUCUUAAUUUUAAUUCAAAAAGCAGUCAUUUAAACAGUAUAAUAAAGUCACAUAACUAUAUGCCAAUAGAAGAGAAAAAAAUAACAAAAAUUUUAAAAUCAUGCAAAC